rnacentral:lncRNA from 1 species
UGAAUCAAGAUUACUUCUUUUGAUUGAUUGUCUGUCGAAAUGGAUAAUAAUAAUUAUGGAUCUGCAUCUUCUUACCCAUACAAUAAUCCCUACCCAUAUCCUUAUCAUCAUCAUCCUCCUCCUCCUCCUCCUCCUCCUCCUCCUCCUCAAAAUCCUGCAUAUCCACCUCCUCCUAAUUCAGAUUCAUAUCACCCCUCUCCAAAUUACCCAUACCCUUAUACUCCUUACACGUAUCCACCACCGCCACCUGCAUACGCAUCACCACCACCACCUGCAUACACAUCACCACCACCUCCACAACAGCCACAUUCAACCACUCAUUCAGGCCCUUUAGAUUAUUAUCACCACCAUCAUUCUGGGCCUAUCCCCUAUCCAUAUCCAUACCCAGCACCAUCUCCAAUUCCACCUACACCUAC